UAGUCUAUAUUGACAAAAUUGCAAGUAGUUCUUAAAUCCAUGCAACAUUUCUUACGGAUUACCAUAGUUUCAGAAUGUAUUAAGAUGGUUUUAGCAAAUACAAAUAAUAAUACCCCUAGGUCCCAUACAAAUAGAUCGCCAAUGUUUGGUUCGCGAAAUGAACAAGUUAGCCUAGCCUAUUCCUACAUUAAUCCUAGAGUGCCUAUAACCAGAGUGACGACAUCUCAUCCGUAAUUUUGGCAACAAUUCAAAACAUUCCAUUAGCUUUAGAUUGAAUUGACAGGUCGUUUGCUCGUUUGGAACUGGGAGCUGUCAUUCCAAACGAACAGCUGUCGCCACUCUGAUUAUAGUCACUCUAAUUAAUCCUUGACAAGUGAAAAUUCCCGAAAAUGUUCUCAACUGGAAACAUUAUUGUCACUAUGGCUAUGCUAGUUUUGUUAUUUUCGCGUCCAGAUUCAAGCCAACGAAAUAUGUUUCGUUUUGAGGACCUCCAGUAAAAUGACCUGAAAACAUUGCUUGGUCGAUAAUACGCAGUUUGAACAAAAUCUUGUCACCUGGAUUGUCUGUUCGUGUGGAAAUUUCGAUAGCUACAACAGAAUAUAAUAUCUCCGGCUUCCACCGAGCUCUCAUUCUAGAAGAAUCAUAAACUGAUGCAUUCUAUGAUUCAUCAAGUCAAGCCAAAAUGACAUAAAUUCUUAGAGUCUCAAAUGAAACUCUGAUACGUGGAAACAAAAUGAC